GGCCUCCGUAGUUUCCUUUAGUCUGGCAGCUUGCGACGCUGAGGAAGCAGAGCGGUGCAAGGAGUCACAGAGAAGGAGUUUAUGUGAUUGUUACUUCAUUUUCAGAAUAAAACCUCCUGUAAAGAAGUCCAUUGUGUGAUCCCUGUCGACAAACGCGUCACAAGACCCGUUACACAAACAGGAGCCGGCAUUGCUGCCGGCUGCUUGCUGCGAGGCCGGCGAGCGUGCCUACGAGAGCCCACAGGGGAUCCACGUCAUCCACGUUGGGCGCCAAACGUGAGAGUCUUCCCCUGUCGUCCGGGUUCCAUGGACCACCAAGAACAGACAUGACGUCGAGCAGUUUGACUUUGUUUAUUUUUCAACAAUACUCAGUCUUGUCGGGUCGCGUUUCGGGCUGUGUUCAAGGUGAACUUUCAGUCAAACUCUCAAUAUUCCAUUGGUUCUCAUUUUAAUGACCUAUCACUGGGAGCACAAGGCCUUUUAUUAAUGGGAAGGAAAUUAACACGUUGCACUUAAAUACCUAUAUUUUUCUCACUGAAUGUCAAGAUGUGUCUCAUUAAAACGUAACGCCAUACAGUACCUCAAACUUUUUGAGGUUAUUAUUAUAAAGAAAAUAUUUAACUUUUUUUGGUUUUCCACUGAGCUUUGAGGAACUCUUUGACUGGAGAGAAACAUGCUCGAAAGAGUAUUGCACCAAAGUUCAAAUUUAAUUGAUUAUUAAGAGACUUUUUUCUGACCCAAAUGAGUUUCCAAGGGAACUUCAGGUAUGAACAGAUGACCCUGGCCAGGUAAGAAAGACUGGAUAUUGGAGUUUUUUUUUUAACAAGGCUGUUACUUAGCCAUAAAUCAUGACAUGUAAACGUCCUGUACCCUCUAUUCAGUGACCUGAAAAAGUGCAAGAGAAAAAAAUGAACUGUAUUCUUUGAGAACUUCCCUGUUAAAUCCGGUGGGGAUUAAUUGGAUUUUAUCCUGCUGGGUUUACAAUGUACUGUCUUUGCGCUUCAGCUCUAUGAUGUAAUUAUCUUUUCCUUUUUUAUAUGAAAAAAA